CGGCCUCAUCCUUUAAGUAAACGUCCUGCGAAAGUCUCGGUCUUUCCGCGGCGACUACAGCGCUCUAUAGAUCCCGCUUGGCUGAAGACGUCUGAUCUCUGCCAGAAGUGUGUCCUCGCCCCUAACCCCUACGCCUUCUCACCCCCAAUAAAAUGGUUUGACUUUA